GAGUUUGAUCGUGGCUCAGAUUGAACGCUGGCGGCAGGCUUAACACAUGCAAGUCGAGCGGAGAUGAGGUGCUUGCACCUUAUCUCAGCGGCGGACGGGUGAGUAAUGCUUAGGAAUCUGCCUAUUAGUGGGGGACAACAUUCCGAAAGGAAUGCUAAUACCGCAUACGUCCUACGGGAGAAAGCAGGGGAUCUUCGGACCUUGCGCUAAUAGAUGAGCCUAAGUCGGAUUAGCUAGUUGGUGGGGUAAAGGCCUACCAAGGCGACGAUCUGUAGCGGGUCUGAGAGGAUGAUCCGCCACACUGGGACUGAGACACGGCCCAGACUCCUACGGGAGGCAGCAGUGGGGAAUAUUGGACAAUGGGGGGAACCCUGAUCCAGCCAUGCCGCGUGUGUGAAGAAGGCCUUAUGGUUGUAAAGCACUUUAAGCGAGGAGGAGGCUACUGAGACUAAUACUCUUGGAUAGUGGACGUUACUCGCAGAAUAAGCACCGGCUAACUCUGUG
rnacentral:rRNA from 1 species